CCUACGGGAGGCAGCAGUGAGGAAUAUUGGUCAAUGGACGAGAGUCUGAACCAGCCAAGUAGCGUGAAGGAUGACUGCCCUAUGGGUUGUAAACUUCUUUUAUAUGGGAAUAAAAUGUUCCACGUGUGGGAUUUUGUAUGUACCAUAUGAAUAAGGAUCGGCUAACUCCGUGCCAGCAGCCGCGGUAAUACGGAGGAUCCGAGCGUUAUCCGGAUUUAUUGGGUUUAAAGGGUGCGUAGGUGGAUUGUUAAGUCAGUUGUGAAAGUUUGCGGCUCAACCGUGAAAUUGCAGUUAAAACUGGCAGUCUAGAGAACAGUAGAGGUAGGCGGAAUGCGUGGUGUAGCGGUGAAAUGCUUAGAUAUCACAAAGAACUCCGAUUGCGAAGGCAGUUCACUAGACUGCAACUGACACUGAGGCACGAAAGUGUGGGUAUCAAACAGGAUUAGAUACCCCAGUAGUC
rnacentral:rRNA from 1 species